GCGGGGGUCCCAUAGCGGUCGAUUGGACAAGCUUGAGGGGCUUGCGCCUUAGUGGCUUCGCAAGUUCGAAUCUUGCCCCCCGCA
rnacentral:tRNA from 1 species